UUUUCAAACAUGGGGGUAGUCUAGGACUGGACCCGAGAGCCCAAGCUGACCUCGCGAGGCUGUAUCUGAGCCAGCUCCAGGUGGCUCCAAGCUUGUCAGCCACAGAAAACUGUGUCUGGGCAAGGGAACCACCUGGGAAGAGGCCUGGGGGCCUGAGAGCUCCAGCAGGAAUUCAGGCCAGAUGUUUCGUGGAUCUCACGGGUAGCCACCACUGGAGUCCUUACAUCAGACAAGCUCGAGAAUUCUCUUAAUUGUCUUCUCAAGUGGGCAGGACGUUGGAGCAGUUUAUGGACUGGUGGUUCGUGGAGCUCCCUCGGUCUCAGCAGAGAUUUCCUGUAACACCAACCACAGUACCCCUGGAUUGUGUGUCCUCAUCUGUGGGGGACAGAACUCCUCCCAAGGAAACCUGCCCUGCUACCAAGCAGGGACUGAGGGAAGAAGUGACAUGACUCCUGUGUGACCUCGGGACUCAGCACACUGUCUCACCCUAACCCUAACUGAGAGGGCAGUCACUCAGCCUCCCACUCCCCGCUGAAGACUACUUGCUCUGUCCUCACCUUGGCUCUGAGCACCCCUCCUCCUUUCCUUUGUCGUUCCCAUGGUCUCCUCUCUCCUCUCCCUUUUUCUUCUUUGGAGAACCUGACACACCAAAAGCUGCGGGGCGUGGCACUGCUCAUGCGCACUUACACCACAGGCCUCAGCGUCCUCCUCUCCAAAGGAAAUCCCCUGCCACUUCCAUCAUCCACCACCCUGUCACUGCCUCUAGCCCUAAAAAUAUGUUUUAUAGACAAAUUUUACCAAGAAGUCUAGAAUAAUAGACAAUCCCUAGAUCUUUCUGUACCACACACACAAAAAAAAAUCUAGAAAAAUGUUUCAUCUUUUUGGUUGGAAAAUUCCACUGCCCUAAUCACACCAUUUAUUUCCCUGUCAUUUUCCUGCCCUCCCACGAGAAACUAAGGGCCAAGAAGGCAGCACUUUUGUUCUGCCCUGGAGCCUAGAAAUUGCGGCCAUCAGGGGCACUUAGUACAAAGCUACCAAUGAAUGAAGGAGCCUGGUCUUGUCCUGGAUCAAGUUCACCAACCUCCCUUUUUAAUCUGUUGCCACGCGUUUGAGGCUGAGCCUUCACAGUAAAAUGCUGUGUGGCCAUCCUGCUUCUGAACUUGAGAGAAUCAAAGGGGAGCUGUUCCUUUGCUCUUCUGUCCCAAACAAAAGGAGUUUGCUCCUUCCCUCUGUUGGUUUUCUCUGGGCUGUGCCAGUUCUCCUAGGGGAGGGCAGGUACAAAGCACGAGGCUCUGCUGGGCAGAGCUUCAGCAGCAGUUAACAAGCUGCACCAACAAGGUUAGUGAUAGGCCUUUGGCUUUAAAAUCGUCGUCAAGCUUUCAGGCUAUAAGAUCCUGAUAAUGUGCGAUUCCCCCUAAAACUCCCCAGGCUUUGGUUAAUGGUAAACACAGCUAUCUCGAGGAUUUGUGAAAGGGGCGCUUUAUCAGUCACAUAGGUUAUUGGAUUGAACAUUUCUGCUCUGGCCUGUGUUAGACUGUGUUCCCCUCACCCCCCGAAAAUCUCAAAAUACAUUAACAGGGGCACAUCUCUGAAUAAAAAAACGAGUCAAUCCAAAAAUUACAUUUCAUCAAAUGCAGUCACCUUCUGGGCUGGAGAUUGAAGGCAUACACAGAGAAAGGGGAAUGGGAAAAGUGAACUAAGUUGGCAGCAACAAACCAUUACCAAAUCCAUCUCAUUUCUGUAAAAACAGGCAUGUGAGUGAAAGCGAGUUUUAAAACGGAAUUCUCCCAACAUGACUCAAGGGCUGUCUUUCUUAUGCCAGUUUUCAAUUUGGUUUUUUAUAGCUGGAGGGAUGAAUGGGAGGGAGGGGGCUCUCAGCCCAAGCCUAAUCCCCAAGCGAGGAAUGAACACAUCUGACCUAGCAGAAGAGUGGGAAGCUUAGGGGGGCUUUCCCCCCAAAACCUAGACAAAUAUUGGAAUGCAUUUUUGGAACAAGAGAUAAUAUCCAAUUGGUUUGCUUUAUAAUGCAUCCGU